AAGCCAGUGGUGAACUCCACAUACGCAUCCUUUGCUGAGGAUACGGUUAACGGAGCGAAAGCGACGUUCAACCUCAAAAGAAGCAGAGGGGGCUUAGUGGUGGGGUGACUGCGUACCUUUUGUAUAAUGGGUCAGCGACUUAUAUUCUGUAGCAAGGUUAACCGAAUAGGGGAGCCGGAGGGAAACCGAGUCUUAACCGGGCGUUAAGUUGCAGGGUAUAGACCCGAAACCCGGUGAUCUAGCCAUGGGCAGGUUGAAGGUUGGGUAACACUAACUGGAGGACCGAACCGACUAAUGUUGAAAAAUUAGCGGAUGACCUGUGGCUGGGGGUGAAAGGCCAAUCAAACCGGGAGAUAGCUGGUUCUCCCCGAAAGCUAUUUAGGUAGCGCCUCGUGAAUUCAUCUCCGGGGGUAGAGCACUGUUUCGGCUAGGGGGUCAUCCCGACUUACCAACCCGAUGCAAACUGCGAAUACCGGAGAAUGUUAUCACGGGAGACACACGGCGGGUGCUAACGUCCGUCGUGAAGAGGGAAACAACCCAGACCGCCAGCUAAGGUCCCAAAGUCAUGGUUAAGUGGGAAACGAUGUGGGAAGGCCCAGACAGCCAGGAUGUUGGCUUAGAAGCAGCCAUCAUUUAAAGAAAGCGUAAUAGCUCACUGGUCGAGUCGGCCUGCGCGGAAGAUGUAACGGGGCUAAACCAUGCACCGAAGCUGCGGCAGCGAACGUAUCACCCAAGACAACUUUACGGAGUUGGCGAUUGAUGGAGCGAAGCGACGUCAAAGCGUUCAUUAAAGUCGAGUUGGCUUAGGGAUACGUUCGUUGGGUAGGGGAGCGUUCUGUAAGCCUGUGAAGGUGGCCUGUGAGGGUUGCUGGAGGUAUCAGAAGUGCGAAUGCUGACAUAAGUAACGAUAAAGCGGGUGAAAAGCCCGCUCGCCGGAAGACCAAGGGUUCCUGUCCAACGUUAAUCGGGGCAGGGUGAGUCGACCCCUAAGGCGAGGCCGAAAGGCGUAGUCGAUGGGAAACGGGUUAAUAUUCCCGUACUUGGUGUUACUGCGAAGGGGGGACGGAGAAGGCUAUGUUGGCCGGGCGACGGUUGUCCCGGUUUAAGCGUGUAGGUGUGUGUUCCAGGUAAAUCCGGUUCACUUUAACACUGAGGCGUGACGACGAGGCACUACGGUGCUGAAGCAACAAAUGCCCUGCUUCCAGGAAAAGCCUCUAAGCAUCAGGUAACAUCAAAUCGUACCCCAAACCGACACAGGUGGUCAGGUAGAGAAUACCAAGGCGCUUGAGAGAACUCGGGUGAAGGAACUAGGCAAAAUGGUGCCGUAACUUCGGGAGAAGGCACGCUGACACGUAGGUGAAGUGAUUUACUCA
rnacentral:rRNA from 1 species